rnacentral:rRNA from 1 species
AGACCCGAAACCCGGUGAUCUAGCCAUGGGCAGGUUGAAGGUUGGGUAACACUAACUGGAGGACCGAACCGACUAAUGUUGAAAAAUUAGCGGAUGACCUGUGGCUGGGGGUGAAAGGCCAAUCAAACCGGGAGAUAGCUGGUUCUCCCCGAAAGCUAUUUAGGUAGCGCCUCGUGAACUCAUCUCCGGGGGUAGAGCACUGUUUCGGCUAGGGGGCCAUCCCGGCUUACCAACCCGAUGCAAACUGCGAAUACCGGAGAAUGUUAUCACGGGAGACACACGGCGGGUGCUAACGUCCGUCGUGAAGAGGGAAACAACCCAGACCGCCAGCUAAGGUCCCAAAGUCAUGGUUAAGUGGGAAACGAUGUGGGAAGGCCCAGACAGCCAGGAUGUUGGCUUAGAAGCAGCCAUCAUUUAAAGAAAGCGUAAUAGCUCACUGGUCGAGUCGGCCUGCGCGGAAGAUGUAACGGGGCUAAACCAUGCACCGAAGCUGCGGCAG